GACGAACGCUGGCGGCGUGCUUAACACAUGCAAGUCGAACGGAAAGGCCCCUUUGGGGGUACUCGAGUGGCGAACGGGUGAGUAACACGUGAGUAACCUGCCCUUGACUUCGGGAUAACUUCAGGAAACUGGGGCUAAUACCGGAUAGGAAUCCUUGCUGAAUGGUGGGGGUUGGAAAGCUUCGGCGGUUUUGGAUGGACUCGCGGCUUAUCAGCUUGUUGGUGGGGUAGUGGGUUACCAAGGCUUUGACGGGUAGCCGGUCUGAGCGGGCGACCGGCCACAUUGGGACUGAGAUACGGCCCAGACUCCUACGGGAGGCAGAAGUGGGGAAUAGUGCACAAUGGGCGGAAGCCUGAUGCAGCAACGCCGCGUGCGUGAUGACGGCCUUCGGGUUGUAAACCGCUUUCAGCAGGGGCGAAGCUUGUGGUGACGGUACCUGCAGAAGAAGCACCGGCUAACUACGUG
rnacentral:rRNA from 1 species